UACAACAGGUUAAUUGGUACUGCAUAUACACAUGGGGACCUGGUGGUUGCCUAGCCUCGAUCCCAGGCCGAGUUUUCGCUUUUAUAACGGUUAGGCGAACAACUGGGCCUGGUACUAGUUGUCUGCGCAUGCGUCAGUCGUUCGUCAGAUUCUGACGAAUGGAUAUUCUCGUUCACUUUCGUGACAUUUAUAUUCGUGUACUAUCGUGUACUAGAAGUCAGUUCCCGUUUUAUCAUUAUUGGAAUCGAUUGGAAUGGCUCUUAGCUGAAGCUUCUCUCUUCUCUGAGCUUAUUCUGAAGACUGAACAACAAGGGAAGAGGUAUAAAGCUUUGUCAAGCUUGUUAAGGUCAGAUAUUUUUGUGUGGGCCCUAUGGCCGGCUAUGCUAUCAAGUCUUGUUCAUGUUUGGCAAGAAUGUAGGUAGACUAUAGUUUCAUCAUUAAUAUGGUGGAUCAAGUGAAGAGUGUGAGCUAGAGAACUUGGUGCUGCCAUCAUCAGCUCGUCGACAAUGACACUAUAACCGAGAAAUUUAAUAUGUAUAGAUCUACACGUAUUUAAAAUGUCUACUUCUCUGUACAGGAGCAAUGGCUAAUAUCCAACUAUCCCAACAGUGCUCCUCUUGGCUAUACUAACGGACGAGACUGGACAGUUUGAGACACAGGACUGGAGUAUGACCUGCUCAUUUGAGCGUUGCUGGGUAGCUCAGAGACAUCAAGAGAAUCUACGUUUUCUCAAGCAAUGAGUUACGAGUUGGGGCCUAGAAUCAGAGAAGUCCAGCAGCCUGCUAAAUCUUUUUGAAACGUAAUUUGAAGGCAUUCAAUCAUCCUGAAGUUGCCCUGGGUCACUGUAAUUGUGCUGCAGCACAACUGGCAACUCCCCAGGCCUUUGUGAAGCAGCUCCCUAUGUGCAUCUUUUGUGUACUCACUCUGUGCAUUUUCUGUGUACAAAUUUCUAUUAUUGAUUUAUUAAAUAUUUUUGCCGACCACAAAUAUACAAUGAAAAUU